UUAAGCACAGCUAAUUUCUUCCUAUACUGUGAUGCCCCCAGAGACCAAAACAUUAGAGAGUUGAUAAUAAAAUUGAAUUAGCCCUUUGUGUGGCAGUAUUGAUUUGAGAGAUGUUACUCUCCAAUCUAAAAGAGAGCCCAUGCUUCAAAAACUGAGGAGACGUUUUCAGAAGUCAUAUCCUAAGAAACAAUUUACUCCCCAAAAUGAGCAAAUGCACUUAAGAAGUCUGGAUAAUCAAAUUAUGAUGAGCCUCACCAGCUAAAAAUGACCUGGUAGGACACCACUCUAUAUCCCUUUUUAAUAGGAGGCUAAAACAUGUAGCGAGAAGCAGAGCAUUUACAAUUAGUCUUUAAAUUCUGGGCUGAUCAGUGUCUUGGGCUGGUCUCCCAACAAGUGAGCUGGAACCCAGUUGAAGUUGGAUUGCACCAGCAAUAUCUCCACCUUUUAAGCAUUUCGAGAGAAGGAAGUGGAAAAUAAGGGGGAAAGAGGUGAAAUGGAAGAAGGGUCGACAUACAGUUAUAAAAAAGGAAAAGUGGAUCCCAAGUUGCAGGAUGCAGCUAAAGACGGAUCUAACAACGUAGUCUGGGCUCCGUGCCAAAGGCUGGUAUUUCACAGCAGCGACCGCCUUACAGAUGAGCUGUGGGAAGCAAGAGGGAGAAUCUCUUAGGGUGCCACUACUAUGGAGACACAGCUGGGCUGAACAUGAUUUGCUUCAUACGACAACAAGAGAGGCAGAAAAGUGUCUGGUUCAAGCGCUGCCCAAGCAGGCAGUAACCAGAAGAGCUAGCAGCCAAUCCGGCCAAGCUGCACUGUUCGAAACCAGCUCCACAUCUCAGCCAAUCAGUGACAUCAUUGGUCUUCGGGGAUUUUCACCAUGUAGCUGGCAACACAGAGUUCUUAUUUAACCAUCAGGCGUACUGCACAAAUGAUGUCUGGGUGCCUUGAAGACAUUUUUUAAAAGAGCUAGAUUUCUGCCAUUUCAGAAACUGGAGUGCUGUGAAAAAUUAAAAUGGAAAAGAAAACCGAAGAACUGGAUCAUGUAAGAACUGAAUGAAGCUGAGCUGCAUCAUGAAGAAAGACAGGAGUGAGUUAUAUACACCAGUCUCUGCCUCAGUGGCCAGGAUCUUUAUGGCUGCUGAUUCUUUGGCUCUGGGUUCAUCUGCCGAACAUCAUGGAUCUGUUCCUAAAAGUAGACAUUUUCUUUUCCAUUCUACAAUUGAGACUCAGAUGCCGAAGGAGAGAGAGUGAAUCUUUUCCGCAUUGUUGUUGUGCCAUUAAAAGUCUUGGACUUUAAAAGCAAAAAGUGAUUGGGCAAAAUACCUUCUUUCCCGCCUGCUAACUGUAUGAAGAAUAUUUUUUGAAAGUUCAAAUGUGGUUCAACCGACUCGGGACCAAGAAUGACAAGUUAGCUCAAAGUCAUUGUGUUCUGCAGUUUAGGAUGUGGAAAGUAAAUCUGCAUUCAAAAGUCAGGUGCUUUUUCAUAUUAGUAGAGAGAUACAUAUUCAAUAAAAGAAAGAAGGGGGAAACAUAAAUGAUACCCAAAGGGCAUUCUUGGUCUAAAAUGGCUUUAAGGUGCAGAAUGUUUUAGGGCCCACUGUAAAUAUGGUAGUGAAGAUAUAAUGCUGAACUGUUUAAUCUUUGUCUAAGCCACUGGGAAAAAUAGAAGGAGAGUGUUUAAAAGUCUGUUUGAAACAGAUGUAACCUGUUUUUAGCUUCCUGUUCUUACUUCUUUUGCAUGCACAACUUUGAUAGCCUUUAUAAAUGGGAGGGUUUAUUAAAUAAAUAAAUAAAUCUCAAUAAUAUCUUGCUCAUGCAACUGAAGGUCUGUUUUGUCAGUGUUAGUGGUGCCUCUUUUUGUUACAUCUUCCGCACUUGCUGAGAUACUUUCUAAAACAACAACAAAGCCCAAUCUGAUUAAUUGAAGAAGAAUUCGACUGGAUCUUAUCGGACUUUUCCUAGUCCCUGAGACCCUAACUUGUGAGGUUUUUUAGUAACAAUCACAAGUCAGGCUCUUGGGACCUAGGCGGAGGGGAACCAGCAACUUUGGACUUUAAUGAUUAACUUUCCACGAUAUUAGCAGCAUAAAAAGAUAUAUUUGUCGAUGGGGGAGGCAUGUGAUGUUUUGGCCCACAGAGAAAUGCAUUGUGCAGAAUAGAGAUGGUAACGUGCUGUGUUACAGGUUCAUAUAUUCAAACAGCUGUACUGUACUCUUUAAUGUUUUGAAUUAAUGUUGGGCCUUCAUUCAAGUGCUGGAGAAUAAAGCAUCUCUGUGAUUAGAUAAUGAAACUGUGCUUGACUCGUUUGCCAUUUCCACACUGAGGCCUAGCAAACCAGUAUCUUCCCCCUCCCACCUAUAAAGUUUUGAUGCAUUCUUUGUGUGUAGACAGGUAUUUGCUUGUCCUGUCAUUUUGUUCCAAUGUUUUAAAUGCUUUCAUCUCUGUUUCUCUGAUUGUAACCAGCAUCACAGCAUUCUAUAGCACUUCCAUAGUUUUACUGUAACAUAAAGCUAAUAUCUAAUGUA